rnacentral:rRNA from 1 species
UACGGGGGAGCAAGCGUUGUUCGGAUUUACUGGGCGUAAAGGGCGCGUAGGCGGCCAGCGCAAGUCAGUUGUGAAAUCUCCGGGCUUAACCCGGAACGGUCAACUGAUACUGCGCGGCUAGAGUGCAGAAGGGGCAACUGGAAUUCUCGGUGUAGCGGUGAAAUGCGUAGAUAUCGAGAGGAACACCUGCGGCGAAGGCGGGUGCUGGGCUGACACUGACGCUGAGGCGCGAAAGCUAGGGGAGCGAACGGG